CCUACGGGAGGCAGCAGUGAGGAAUCUUGGUCAAUGGGCGCGAGCCUGACCCAGCCAAGUCUCGUGAAGGAUGACUGCCCUACGGGUUGUAAACUUCUUUUAUAAAGGAAUAAAGUGAGGCACGUGUGCUUUUUUGUAUGUACUUUAUGAUUAAGGAUCGGCUAACUCCGUGCCAGCAGCCGCGGUAAUACGGAGGAUCCGAGCGUUAUCCGGAUUUAUUGGGUUUAAAGGGAGCGUAGAUGGGUUGUUAAGUCAGUUGUGAAAAUUUGCGGCUCAACCGUAAAAGUGCAAUUGAUACUGGAAGUCUUGAGUACAGUUGAGGUAGGCGGAAUUCGUGGUGUAGCGGUGAAAUGCUUAGAUAUCACGAAGAACUCCGAUUGCGAAGGCAGCUUACUAAACUGCCACUGACAUUGAUGCUCGAAAGUGUGGGUAUCAAACAGGAUUAGAUACCCUGGUAGUC
rnacentral:rRNA from 1 species